rnacentral:rRNA from 1 species
GAUGAACGCUGGCGGCGUGCCUAAUACAUGCAAGUCGAGCGAACAGACGAGGAGCUUGCUCCUCUGACGUUAGCGGCGGACGGGUGAGUAACACGUGGAUAACCUACCUAUAAGACUGGGAUAACUUCGGGAAACCGGAGCUAAUACCGGAUAAUAUAUUGAACCGCAUGGUUCAAUAGUGAAAGACGGUUUUGCUGUCACUUAUAGAUGGAUCCGCGCCGCAUUAGCUAGUUGGUAAGGUAACGGCUUACCAAGGCAACGAUGCGUAGCCGACCUGAGAGGGUGAUCGGCCACACUGGAACUGAGACACGGUCCAGACUCCUACGGGAGGCAGCAGUAGGGAAUCUUCCGCAAUGGGCGAAAGCCUGACGGAGCAACGCCGCGUGAGUGAUGAAGGUCUUCGGAUCGUAAACCUCUGUUAUUAGGGAAGAACAAAUGUGUAAGUAACUAUGCACGUCUUGACAGUACCUAAUCAGAAAGCCACGGCUAACUACGUG